CCGGCAGGGCUGAGUCACACGGACCGGCUAGUGCCGCUCUUUGCAGAAGUUGUCCCUUGGACUUGCUAUUAGCCGCGAAAGUAUCGGUAGUUGUUUUGGCACCCUCCAGUCUUUGCUGUUGCAUCUUAGUUCUUUACAAUUCUUUAUUUCAAUUUAUUUAUUCACAUGAUGGUGACAUUUAGAUCCUUUCUACCACACCUUGUUUCCAAGCCUAAUCUAAACACAGCGCUCAGGGCAAGCAAAGUCGAAAGGAUUUGACAUAGGUUUUGUAAAUAAUGUUCUCUUCUUCCUGAACAAUUUUCACAGAGGCUAAAUUCUACUGAAAUGAUUUUUGCAGCAUUCAAGCGCUGUGGGGAUUCACCCCCAUGGUCACCGAUCCUCUGGUGAGUACUGCCCUGGAGCUCAGGCUGAGCCCCUCUGCUGCUGGUGUGUAAGUCUUUGCAAAUAAAUCCUCUCCCGAGGGACAGAAACGUUGUGUUCCAGCAGCCCAGCUGUGGGGUGGGCAAUGGUUGGAACAACUUUGUUAAAUAAGUGACGAGUGUGAAGCCGUCAGGGCCGUGUGUGGCUUGUGGGUGCAGCCGUGGCAGCUGAGUGUCCCCAGCUGGGGUGCUGCUCUGCCAGGCCCCCGAUUCCACCAGUGCACAUUCUUCUCAUGAACCUGCAAACCUGUGGGCUGCAGGCUGCUCUGGAGCUGCUGUGCAUGAGCCUGGGGUGCAGCAGGUAUUUUAUCUCCUGUCACAGCCCUGGGCUGCUCUGGAGCUGCUGUGCAGGCCAGCCUGGGGUGCAGCAGGUAUUUUAUCUCCUGUCACAGCCCUGGGCUGGGCUUUGGUCCCCUCUGUUCCAGGCUGUGCCCAGGUAACCCUUAACCUUGUGACACUCUGGGCCAUGGUUUCCCAGAGCAGCACUGCAGCUCCUGGAAACGCUGAGGAACAUCUCUGAAUAGCGUCAGCCUCUUCUUCUGGCAGUUGUCUCUUAGCCCAUCCUUUGGAAACCAAAUAACUGAGCUUCCUUGGGAGCUUUUAAGCCAUUUCUCCUCUCAUUCUUGCUGUUCCUUUCACUGUCCAUCUGAUCCCCUCUCCUAGAAGUACUCUGGGGGCAGAGCUACCACACCACCCAGCUUGGUCUGAGCCAGUCAAAGGCAAAGUUCCCCUCAAUACCAGCUGUAAGAAUUGCUGAAAGGCCACAGUGGCACUGCAGAAAUAUUUUAUUUUGUUCAUCUGUGCUCAGGUUUUGGGUAUGAUGUGGGCUUUCUCACUUUCAUCACUUCUGUAGCAAACCCACAUCUGAAUUAUUCACAUUACACUUACUCCCAACAUGCCAGUAGCCAAUUUUAUAAAGACCAGACUGUAACGUUGGUUUAAAUCCUACCUAUUGAAUCCCAACUCACUGCUGGAUUGUGGGGUGUGUUGUUUUCUACAGUGACAGAAUAAAAUUGCUCUGCAUUUUAAAAUUCUACACUGUGCUACUGAUUGCUGCUGUUUCUGAAGAAGGAAAUGUACCACGUUCAAAGUAACGAACAAUAUUUAUGCUGUUGAGUUUAAAUAUGGAAUAUAAUUUCUCAAGCACCAGUGCCCUACUACAUGUAUUAAUUUAAUCUCUCAUGUUACCAGCCAGCCCUAGGUAAUUAGUUAGUCUGCAGUGCAGGGAGUCUGUGGGAAGUAAGUGAAAGAAUCAAGUCUGGUUUUCUUAGAAAUGAAUUCUGGUGCAUGGCUACAGACCAUUGAGGGAUCUGUGGGUUGGAAAGUUUGAAAAUCCCUGGCUGAGGGUUUAGACACAGAAGUUAAAUAAAUCAUGAGAGGAUGCAGCACAUAAUAUUUGAAUUAUGAAGCGUGCAUUGCAUUGGGUGGUUGUGCUUCAUGAAUGGUAGUGGUUUAGAUUUUAAGGAAAAAAAAUUAAUGUUUUCCUGAAACAAGCUCUGGUUGGGCAACAUGAAGGCAUGACAAUGCAGCAGAGUCUAGGGAAAAUAUAAUCAUCAGAGUUGGCUUAUUAAUUUGAUUUUCAAAAUGAUCAAACAUAUUUUAAAGACAAUUUCAGAAUGAUUUGGUGCUAUCUUAAAAAUGCCAAAAUAAAAAUCAUCUGAAAAGCAUAAAUUUGGUUACUAAGCAGUUCACCAUACAAUAUUUACAUGUAUAAACAGCUUUUACUGUGCUGAGUAACCCUGCUUGUACAGUAAAACUGCUCGUACAGGCUGAGGUUAUUUCUCUGCGUUGUUAGAGAGCGAGUUGUGAGUUGCUGCUGUUGGAGAUCCUCUGUGCAAGUAAAGCAGGGGCUUUGGUGGGUUUUUUAAUGUAUUGUACUCGGUAGGCAAAGAUGAAACAAGGGUAGUGUACAUCAGUAACAAGAGCAAUACCUGAAGUUUGAGUACCCUGAAAGUUUGUCAGUGCCUGAAGAUAGCAAGAUUAAUUGCUACAAAAAGAAGUAAAAACUUGCUGGUGUUCCUGUUCCUGGAGGGACCUUGUAACCAGCUCUUCUGCCGAGGUGCACAGCCACGCUCAGAGCCGUGGGUCCGUGGCAGCCAAGGGAUGUGUCCCCCUGAGACCUGGAGUCCCACUGAGCUCCUUUGGAGAGGCUUUGCAGGAGGAUUCUGCUCUCCCGAGGAGCAGGCAGUGCUGGAGGGGUGGCUGAGCUUUGAGGUAUUGUGUUUCUGCACAGUUUUGCUGCUGCAUAGGAGGAGCAGGCUCUGCCAGUGAAGCUGGGCUGCAGUCUGGGAAAUGCAGGGCUCUGGGUAAAACACACACAGAACCUGCUCAGAGUUAGGGGAGAAUGAGCCUGGCUGAAAUCUGGAGCUCUCGGGCAGAAAGAGCUGCUUGCCUCCAGAGUUUCUCUGCUUCUGUUAGUGACUACACAUUGAAAUAAGGUUUAUUAAUACGUGGGAAGUUCUUGUGACUGUGAAAGAGACUUCUGAGAUCAUGGUGCUCUGCCAGGUACCAGCUAGGUAGGGUGAUAAUUGAAUUUUAAAGCUACAAAUCAUACUAAAUGUUGUAUUUUCAUUUCUCAGCACUGCUGCUGAGAAAAUCUCAAGGGAGGUCACGGGCUAAGGAUACUGCACAUCAUUUCAUGCCUAAGAUGGCAAUGUUCCCUGGAUAUAACAGACAUACCUUACCACUCACUUCAGACUUAGCUGGCUCACAACACAAUAUAAAACAGUUAAACUGAGAAGAUUCAACCAUUUGGGCAAGAGUUGCUGUUCUGUCACUCCCUUGCUGUCAGUGUGUGACAUUAAUAUUAAUAGUAAACCUAAGGGUAAAGGGAGAAUAAUUACCAAGGGAAACUAAGAAGAUAAAAUAAUCUCAGAGUUCAAAGAACAGAAUUGCAUCAAAUGUUCUUUGGCAUUGAACAAAUCUGGAGAAUUUUUCCAGUGUUUACUCAUUUUGAAUAUAUAAAAUUAAGCAAGAUUUUGGGGCCUAAAUGAGUUUUUAGUGCAGUGGUGUACAGAGAAGUCUUUAUUUUGGAUUUGGCAGCAGGAUGAUUUAGGUUUCUUUGGAGGGGUUGAGGAAGGAGAAGAUGACCAAAAUAACCUGGCAUCCAACAGCAUUUAAAUCAAAUAUUUAACAUAUCUGCACCUUGAGAACUUUUCCAUAAUUCCGUAUGUGAAUCCAUAUCCACAACAAGACUGCCUGAUGUGUGUUUGUCCUCAUCCCGUGGCGGUGCCAGUGCUGAUUCCAGGAUCAGGGUGUGCUCACAGGGAGUCAAACAGGGAGUCAAACAGGGAAUCACACAGGGAAUCACACAGGGAGUCAAACAGGGAAUCAAAC
rnacentral:lncRNA from 1 species